GUCAGAUCCUACCUAUAUCUAAAUUUUGAUAAUUUUUUCAUCAUGGAUUAUUUUUGCAUUCAUUUUGAUACUUGUUAAAUUUGUUAAAACAUUAUCUUGAUCACUGAUUGUUUUGGUGCCACAUUAAAUUUUGUGCGGGAAGGAAGACCACCCCCUAAAGCAAGCCUUGAACUGGGUAUUACAGAAAAUUCUGCUGGGGUGGGGGGCAUAAGAGGGAGAGAAAUUUUAAAACAAGCAUGAAAUAACAUCCAUAUAUUUAGUUCCAUUCACAUAUCUGAAUAUUGGACAUUUGUGCUUUUGUCUUCUCAGAAAGGAGAUUCACUGUGAAUGAGUGUGACUGAAGCCAGGGUGCAGGCGAGUAACCUGAACAAAGCAGCUCGGCAGGGCAGCCAUUUGAAACCUGCUUCAGGACUUGGACACCUCUGUCCUGGUCAUUCUCAUGUUGGUCAUGGGAUCAAAAGGUGACUACUUGAGCUGAUAGAAAACCGUAAGUUGUAUCAAAGAAGUAUGGGGGGGAUCAGGAUAGGAUCGGCUUAUGCUUUGCUGCAGAGACCGUGUGUGAGGGCAGUGAUGGAAACGGGCUGCAGACCUAGUGACGGGGUGUCUGAGAAGCAGCCCAACAAAGCAGGCCACUGAGUGCUGGCGUCCUGAGGCCGAGGGCUGGGCUCACAGUCAGGUCUGGCCAGGGCUUGGGAGGACCAGGCCUCUACUUUUGCAAGCAGGCAAAGCAAAUUUUUUUAAGAAAAACUUAAAAGUUAGGUGACUUGCUUUUCCUGGGUUUACAUAGUGGUCUCUUAAUGGAGCUCUGAAGGGAAAAGGAGCCACAAGAAAUAAAUAAGGGAAAGAAAAUCUUCUCAUCCAUUUCCAAACUCUACAGCAUGAAUUCUCCAAAGAAACUCUUUAUGUGCUUUUCCCACUCUCUUUUGCAAAUAUGGUAGACCUGUUUUAUGUAACCAGUAUUGGGAAGAGGGACCUACUAUUGGCCCAGAUGACAGCCCACUGUGGGCUCUGGCUGUUUAGGGAGGUCUGACCACUGGUGCAUUUGAAUCUCUCCAAAAUAAGCUCUAUUACACUGGCCUUCU
rnacentral:lncRNA from 1 species